GGUAAUACGGAGGGGGUUAGCGUUGUUCGGAAUUACUGGGCGUAAAGCGUACGUAGGCGGAUUAGUAAGUUAGAGGUGAAAUCCCAGGGCUCAACGUGGAGGGUCAUUUAGAACUGGCAGGCUAGAGUCUUGGAGAGGGGAGUGGAAUUCCAGGUGUAGCGGUGAAAUGCGUAGAGAUCUGGAGGAACAUCAAUGGCGAAGGCAACUCCCUGGCCAAAGACUGACGCUCAUGUGCGAAAGUGUGGGUAGCGAACAGGAUUAGAUACCCUGGUAGUCCACGCCGUAAACGAUGGUUACUAGCUGUUUGGACCUUGUGUCUGAGUGGCUAAGCGAAAGUGAUAAGUAACCCACCUGGGGAGUACGUUCGCAAGAAUGAAACUCAAAGGAAUUGACGGGGGCCCGCACAAGCGGUGGAGCAUGUGGUUUAAUUCGAUGAUACGCGAGGAACCUUACCAGGGCUUAAAUGUAAGUUGCAUUAGUUAGAGAUAGCUAUUUCUUCGGACCACUUACAAGGUGCUGCAUGGUU
rnacentral:rRNA from 1 species